GGGGCCUUGGUCUAGUGGUAUGAUUCCCUCUCAGGGUGGGGGAGGUCGGGGGUUCAAUUCCCCCAGGCCCCC